rnacentral:rRNA from 1 species
UGCUGAAAGCAUCUAAGCAUGAAGCCCCCCUCGAGAUGAGAUUUCCCAACUUCGUUUAUAAGAUCCCUCAAAGAUGAUGAGGUGAAUAGGUUCGAGGUGGAAGCGUAGCGAUACGUGGAGCUGACGAAUACUAAUCGAUCGAAGACUUAAUCAA